rnacentral:rRNA from 1 species
UACGUAGGGUGCGAGCGUUAAUCGGAAUUACUGGGCGUAAAGCGUGCGCAGGCGGUUUUGUAAGCCAGAUGUGAAAGCCCCGGGCUUAACCUGGGAAUGGCAUUUGGGACUGCAAGGCUGGAGUGUGGCAGAGGAGUCUGGAAUUCCUGGUGUAGCAGUGAAAUGCGUAGAUAUCAGGAGGAAUACCGAUGGCGAAGGCAGGUCUCUGGGCUAACACUGACGCUCAUGCACGAAAGCGUGGGGAGCAAACAGG